GACGAACGUUGGCGGCGUGCUUAACACAUGCAAGUCGAACGGAAAGGCCCUGCUUUUGUGGGGUGCUCGAGUGGCGAACGGGUGAGUAACGCGUGAGUAACCUGCCCUUGACUUUGGGAUAACUUCAGGAAACUGGGGCUAAUACCGGAUAGGAGCUCCUGCUGCAUGGUGGGGGUUGGAAAGUUUCGGCGGUUGGGGAUGGACUCGCGGCUUAUCAGCUUGUUGGUGGGGUAGUGGCUUACCAAGGCUUUGACGGGUAGCCGGCCUGAGAGGGUGACCGGCCACAUUGGGACUGAGAUACGGCCCAGACUCCUACGGGAGGCAGCAGUGGGGAAUAUUGCACAAUGGGCGGAAGCCUGAUGCAGCAACGCCGCGUGCGGGAUGACGGCCUUCGGGUUGUAAACCGCUUUCGCCUGUGACGAAGCGUGAGUGACGGUAAUGGGUAAAGAAGCACCGGCUAACUACGUG
rnacentral:rRNA from 1 species